UGGGGAAUAUUGGACAAUGGGCGAAAGCCUGAUCCAGCCAUGCCGCGUGUGUGAAGAAGGCCUUAUGGUUGUAAAGCACUUUAAGCGAGGAGGAGGGUACUGGUAUUAAUACUACCAGGUACUGGACGUUACUCGCAGAAUAAGCACCGGCUAACUCUGUGCCAGCAGCCGCGGUAAUACAGAGGGUGCGAGCGUUAAUCGGAUUUACUGGGCGUAAAGCGUGCGUAGGCGGCUAAUUGAGUCGGAUGUGAAAUCCCCGAGCUUAACUUGGGAAGUGCAUUCGAUACUGGUUAGCUAGAGUGUGGGAGAGGAUGGUAGAAUUCCAGGUGUAGCGGUGAAAUGCGUAGAGAUCUGGAGGAAUACCGAUGGCGAAGGCAGCCAUCUGGCCUAACACUGACGCUGAGGUACGAAAGCAUGGGGAGCAAACAGG
rnacentral:rRNA from 1 species